rnacentral:rRNA from 1 species
UAGCCGUAAACGAUACUCGCUAGGUGUCGGCCACGGUGCGACCGUUGUCGGUGCCGUAGGGAAGCCGUGAAGCGAGCCACCUGGGAAGUACGGCCGCAAGGCUGAAACUUAAAGGAAUUGGCGGGGGAGCACCACAACGGGUGGAGCUUGCGGUUUAAUUGGAUUCAACGCCGGGAAGCUCACCGGAUAAGACAGCGGAAUGAUUGCCGGGCUGAAGACCCUGCAUGACCAGCUGAGAGGUGGUGCAUGG